AACAAAACAUAAAUGUAUUGUAUAACAUGUUAUAAGACUGUCAUCUGAUGAAGUUGUUUCUUGGUUAGUGACUAAUUAUAUCUCUAUUUGGUCGGUUUUGUGAUAGCUACCGAUGCGGUAGAAACAUGGUGAAAAUAUGCGGUUGAGUCUUUGGUUAUUGUGGUUAGCUAAUAGAAAUACAUAUUGUGUUUUCGCUGUAAAACAUUUAAAAAAUCGGAAAUGAUGGCUGGAUUCACAAGAUGUUUAUCUUUCAUUUACUGUAUUGGACUUGUGAUUUCAUGAAAAUUAUAUUAUAUGAUAUCCCUGUCCCGUUAGGCUAGGCUAUGCUAGUCAGCUUUUUUGAUGAGGAGGAUUCCGGAUCUGGGAGAGAGAAGUGGUAGAGGGGUAUUAACUUUGUUUGGUAUACAGUAUUUGUAAGGCCUUAACCAUGCAUUUUUCCAGACAAUGUUCAUAUUGCUGUUCCUCUAUCAUUCCUUUCCCUCUUCCACGUGUCAUCAUUCUGCUCCGGAGUGGCUCGCUUGUGGGCGUGCUGGCAGGAUAGGGCAGCGUCUUCAGUUGCGCAUCAAGAAUUCUGCAUACAGUUGCACGUUUGUAUGAAGGUGUGGUUAUUCACAGGCAAAUUGUUAUAUGCUAUGAAGGUACAUUUGUGUCUUUUUGUCGAAAUCAAAAAUAAUUGUUCUGACAGCUAUUUUUUCCCCGACAGAAAAGGAAGUCAAAGCGGACACCUACGAAGAUGGCAUCUCAGAGAGCGAGCAGAUUUACAGCCAUUUUCACUGGACUAUCUGUUGCUAAGUCAUGGGUUAGCCUUGCAAUAACCAAGUGGUGAGAAACACAGCCCUCUAUAUUUAAAUGUUUCAGGUACACUUUGAAAGGGGAUACUGUAUGUGACGCAGACACCUAUUGGCAUUAUCUUCUAUUGUUUGUCCUCAUGGGUCUGUUUUUCAGCUUAAAGUACUCUGUAGCCACUCACGUCAUCCCUCUCCCCCUAAAUCUUCUCGGUUAUAUCAGCUGUUUUGUUGAACCUCUCCCGCAUCUGAACUGGCUGACAGAGGGCACAGCCUGAUCAUAGGUAUGUUUUGAUGUGAGAGGAAUCCAGUCCCGACAGCGCAAUUGUGAUGAACUGAGAGAAUAUUAGGGUAGCACUGUCAUUCAUGAAUCAUAUGCUAUCUGCCGCUGUUCUUACCUCUCUCCCCACCUCAUCUUCUAAUGCACACCAUAUGUGCAUUGAAGUACAGAUUUGCCUACUUUUUUUUUUUUUUUAACUAGGCAAGUCAGAUAAGAAUGACGGCCUAAGAACUGCCUUGUUCAGGGGCAGAAGGACAGACCUUGUCGGCUCGGGGAUUCGAUCUUGCAACCUUCCGGUUACUAGUCCACCUACCCGCCCAAGAUUGAACUUGUAUUUAUAAUAUUACAAUUAAAAUGCACUUCUUUCAAUAAAGCGUUUCACAUUCUCCACUGGUUGAAAUACUAUCCUGUGUCCGUCCUCAGAUUAAUGGAGUUAAAUGUGCAUAGGUUUUUCUCUCUCUGUAUA